rnacentral:rRNA from 1 species
AGUGAACGCUGGCGGCAGGCCUAACACAUGCAAGUCGAACGGCAGCACGGCAGUAGCAAUACUGUGGGUGGCGAGUGGCGGACGGGUGAGGAAUACAUCGGGAUCUACCCUGUUGUGGGGGAUAACGUAGGGAAACUUACGCUAAUACCGCAUAAGAACUGAGGUUGAAAGCGGCGGACCGCAAGGCGUCGCGCGAUUGGAUGAACCGAUGUCCGAUUAGCUAGUUGGCGGGGUAAAGGCCCACCAAGGCGACGAUCGGUAGCUGGUCUGAGAGGACGACCAGCCACACUGGAACUGAGACACGGUCCAGACUCCUACGGGAGGCAGCAGUGGGGAAUAUUGGACAAUGGGCGCAAGCCUGAUCCAGCCAUGCCGCGUGGGUGAAGAAGGCCUUCGGGUUGUAAGACCUUUGUCCACUGACGAGGAAGGACGGUAGGUGGCGAAUAAGACCUCGGCGUAACUACGUGCCAGCAGCCGCGGU